AACGAACGCUGGCGGCAUGCCUAACACAUGCAAGUCGAACGAGACCUUCGGGUCUAGUGGCGCACGGGUGCGUAACGCGUGGGAACCUGCCCUUAGGUUCGGAAUAACUCCCCGAAAGGGGUGCUAAUACCGGAUAAUGUCUUCGGACCAAAGAUUUAUCGCCUUUGGAUGGGCCCGCGUUGGAUUAGCUAGUUGGUAGAGUAAAAGCCUACCAAGGCGACGAUCCAUAGCUGGUCUGAGAGGAUGAUCAGCCACACUGGGACUGAGACACGGCCCAGACUCCUACGGGAAGCAGCAGUGGGGAAUAUUGGACAAUGGGCGAAAGUCUGAUCCAGCAAUGCCGCGUGAGUGAUGAAGGCCUUAGGGUUGUAAAGCUCUUUUACCCGGGAUGAUAAUGACAGUACCGGGAGAAUAAGCUCCGGCUAACUCCGUG
rnacentral:rRNA from 1 species